ensembl:misc_RNA predicted gene, 27998
CAGAGCCCGCCAGCUGCUAAGCCAGGGCCACACCUGGGGGUGAUUCAUGCCUCACCUCCAGUAGGCUCAUGGCCUGUCUGGGCUAACUUCUGGCUCCUUUGCACUAACUUUAGCUCUUACCCAGCUAAUCCCUGCCUCUCCAUGGCUGCCCCAGGGGCUGACCACUAACAGCCAGCCUUGCCUACUAAGGGUGGGGGCUAGAGGGAAGGGGGUUGUCCAGGUUCCUGGCCUGGCUUUGGCCGGCUCCUUUGAACUACCCCUUUCUCUGGACUAAUUCAUGCCUUUCUGGUCCGUUCCUUUUGGCAGAAAUGAAUGGCUGUGGCUUUCUCUCUAACAGGUCUCAUCUUCCUCUCACUGUCACCACUAACAGCUUGGAUGGCAGCAUGGCCGGG